GUGCUCACUUCAGCAGCACAUAUGCUAAAACUGGAAUGAUGCAGAGAAGAUUAGCAUGGCCCCUGCUCAAGGAUAACACGCAAAUUCGUGAAGCAUUCCAUAUUUUA
ensembl:snRNA U6 U6 spliceosomal RNA